GGGUCACUCAAUUAAUUGGAGACUGACUAGCUGAAAUCCAUUCAUUUAUAAUCAAAAACAUCCACAAAAUAUUAUAUUGAAAUCCACAUUUUAUUGAUUUUCUUUUGAUACAAUCAAAUAUUGAAAUUGAUAAUCCUAUCCCUUCUAAUUUCUUCUUUCAUUUACUCUUCUUUUCUCCUUUAUUAUGAUAACAAUAUGUAAAUUGCUACAUAUUCUAAAUAGUCAACAUACAUUGAUUCAAUAGCCCAAAAAUUAAAAAUUCUCACUAUCUUAGAUUUUAAAACUAAUUUUUUCUUUUGAUAUUCUAAAAUUCAUUUACCAAUCUUCAAUUCUUCCAUAAAUAAAAACAACGUGGAUAGCACCAAGCUUACUUUGGCUCAUGACUCUCAUAUUUUGGUCCAUUAUACUUCCAC
rnacentral:lncRNA from 1 species